rnacentral:rRNA from 1 species
UUCCGGUUGAUCCCGCCGGACCCGACUGCUAUCGGAGUGGGACUAAGCCAUGCGAGUCGUACGUCCCGGGCUGGCGGGACGUGGCGUACGGCUCAGUAGCACGUGGCCAACCUACCCUGCGGACGGCUAUAACCCCGGGAAACUGGGGCUAAUAGCCGAUAGGGGAUAGGCGCUGGAAAGCCCUAUCCCCGAAAGGGCUACACACCCAUGCCGUAUGUAGCCGCCGCAGGAUGGGGCUGCGCCCUAUCAGGCAGUAGGUGGGGUAACGGCCCACCUAGCCUAUAACGGGUGCGGGCCCUGGGAGGGGGAGCCCGGAGAUGGGCACUGAGACAAGGGCCCAGGCCCUACGGGGCGCAGCAGGCGCGAAACCUCCGCUAUGCGCGAAAGCGCGACGGGGCCACUCCGAGUGCCGCCCGCUGAGGGCGGCUUUUGCCCAGUCCAAAAGGCUGGGCGAAUAAGGGGAGGGCAAGAUUGGUGUCAGCCGCCGCGGUAAUACCAACUCCCCGAGUGGUUGGGACGAUUAUUGGGCUUAAAGCGUCCGUAGCCAGUCGGGUGUGUCGUCGGUUAAAUCCGACGUCUCAAGCGUCGGACUGCCGGCGAUACUACCCGGCUAGGGAGCGGGAGAGGCGGCCGGUAUUCCCGGGGUAGGGGUAAAAUCCUCAGAUCCCGGGAGGACCAUCGGUGGCGAAGGCGGGCCGCUAGAACGCGUCCGACGGUGAGGGACGAAAGCUGGGGGAGCGAUCCGGAUUAGAUACCCGGGUAGUCCCAGCUGUAAACGAUGCAGGCUAGGUGUGCGGCCACCUUAGGGGUGGCCGUGUGCCGAAGGGAAACCGUCAAGCCUGCCGCCUGGGGAGUACGGCCGCAAGGCUGAAACUUAAAGGAAUUGGCGGGGGAGCACCACAAGGGGUGGAGCCUGCGGUUCAAUUGGAUUCAACGCCGGG